AGCAGCCGCGGUAAUUCCAGCUCCAAUAGCGUAUAUUAAAGUUGUUGCAGUUAAAAAGCUCGUAGUUGAACUUCAGGCCUGGCCGGGCGGUCCGCCUAACGGCGUGUACUGUCUGGCCGGGCCUUACCUCCUGGUGAACCGGGGUGCCCUUUAUUGGGCGCCUCGGGGAACCAGGACCUUUACCUUGAGAAAAUUAGAGUGUUCAAAGCAGGCCUAUGCCCGGAUACAUUAGCAUGGAAUAAUAAAAUAGGACGUGCGGUUCUAUUUUGUUGGUUUCUAGAAUCGCCGUAAUGAUUAAUAGGGAUAGUUGGGGGCAUUGGUAUUGAGUCGCUAGAGGUGAAAUUCUUGGAUUGACUCAAGACCAACUAUUGCGAAAGCAUUUGCCAAGGAUGUUUUCAUUAAUCAAGAACGAAGGUUAGGGGAUCGAAGACGAUCAGAUACCGUCGUAGUCUUAACCAUAAACUAUGCCGACUAGGGAUCGGAUGAUGUUAAUUUUAUAAUGACUCA
rnacentral:rRNA from 1 species